rnacentral:lncRNA from 1 species
CCCUAGUGUAAACAGUGUAUAACUUGCAUGUUUUAUUUGAUACACUUUCCCAAUUUAUUUCUUGAUAUCAAAUGCAUGAAAUAUUAAGUAGGGGGAUGUAACUACAUGUCAAAGAGAUUUGGGUGCUGAAUCUUUAUGUUAAGUAGUGAUUUGGUCCAGUUAAAAAAGGUCAAAUUUUAUCACGUCUGAAGCUGUCAAACUGAAUUUUACAACCCCUUAACACAGAAUUGUCAAUAUUUUGAGUUAGACCUGAUAGAAGUUUCUAUAAUUUUGAUAUUAUUUGUCUCACUGGUAGUACACUACACUGUAAAAAUCUUUUUGAGAGAGAGCAGGUGCGAUUUUUU